CGGCGAGUGAAGAGGGAAAAGCUCAAAGUUGGAACCUGGCUGCCCUAGGCAGUCCGGAUUGUAAACUAAAGAGCGUGAUUCCAGGCAAGCCGGUUGAUCAAGUCCUUUGGAAUGAGGCGCCACUGAGGGUGAGAGCCCCGUAAGUCGACUGAGCAUUUGUCUUUUGUGUUUCGCGUUCAAAGAGUCAGGUUGUUUGGGAAUGCAGCCUAAAGCUGGUGGUAAAUCCCACCUAAAGCUAAAUACAGGCGAGAGACCGAUAGCGAACAAGUACCGUGAGGGAAAGAUGAAAAGAACUUUGAAAAGAGAGUUAAACAGUAUGUGAAAUUGCCAAGAGGGAAGCAUUUGGAGUUAGAUUGACUAGGAGUUAAUCAGCUUGGUCUUUGGACUGGGUGUACUUGACUUCUAUUGGUCUGCCAAUAGCAGUUAGUCCUAGUGGAAAAAACCAGAGGGAAGGUAGUCCUUCGGGAUGUUUAUAGACCUUUGGAAAAUACACUGGGAUUGACUGAGGAAUGCAGUAGAUGCCACUAAGGCUUCGUCUAGUGGGUGCUAGGCAAAGGUACUUGGUAUUUUCAGCUUGCUGAUGUGCUAGGUUACUCGAGUCUAGUCGCCUACUAGAA
rnacentral:rRNA from 1 species